GCCGGGCGUGGUGGCUCACGCCUGUAAUCCCAGCACUUUGGGAGGCUGAGAAAGGUGGAUCACUUGAGGUCAGGAGUUCAAAAUGAGCCUGGCCAAUAUGGUGAAACCCUGUCUCUA
rnacentral:SRP_RNA from 2 species